rnacentral:lncRNA from 1 species
AGAAAUUAUUAGGCCUUAGGCUGCAUGCUAUGGACCAUUUGUAUAGAUUCCAACAUUGCUAUCCUGUUGUAGAAACAGGAAAAGGAAGAAGAAGAUGAAGGACUAAAAGAUGAAGGGCAAUCAUCAGAAUUUCACAACUGUCGUGGAUCUUUGGUUCCUUUGCUCACAACACAUGUACACAGAAAACCCCUUCGUUACGGUAGAAACAUCCAUAAUUCACAUAGAAGUUGGGCACAGUUUUGUGUAUGCUAAACAGGGGGAUCAUUCUCACAGAAACCUGUACCAUUCCACAAGUGGGGCUUGUGCUAUCCAAUCUUCAGGUUGAGAUUACGUGAAGUAGUGGGGAGCCAGUGCAUAGGAGGUACAUGCAUAUGACCACGUGUCCUUUGAUCUCACAUAAAUUUUGAGUAGUGAUCUUUAGUAAAGUUGUGGCUUGACAUGUCUAACUAUGAGCAAAAAUACCUUUUUAAAGAGAUUUUCUUUUCAUUCCCAUGAGCAGAAAAAGCUCAAAAACGUGUUUUAAUGAUAAUAUGUGAUACCUCUUUCAUGGAACAAAGCUUCAGAAGAUACAAAAUUUUAAUAAAAUUCUGGGGUUCUAUAUACCAGAACUGCAAUCUGAUUGUGAAGCACGUGGUAGUGGGGGAGUCCGGAAUCGUUUUUAUCACCUGAGGUUAUUUGAUCAGCACUUCAUAUCUGAUUCUGUGACCUUGUAUCUAGAAAAGUCAUUAAGCCAUACAGUGGGCGGAAUAAAACAAAAACUUGUAGCACAAAAAUACUAUUAACAAAUUAUGACACCUAACAUGCACUGCGUAUACAUGCUGCAUCACAUAUUCAAUGAAGUUCGAGAACUUAAGAAUCAAGUACAACUGGUAGUUUGCCAAAUAAGUAAAGAAUAGCAAUUCCACGUGUGAAGUACUGCACUAGGCAAUGGAGAUUCACUUUCUCUCAACAAAUUCGAAAUACUGAACAACCAAAAUGAAAUAACUCAACAUCGUAAAGUUUGGCAAGUGUGCUGGCUUGAAUCAGUAAAUCGAAUGGGUUCAAUAAAAUUACAAUGAAAACACGUUAGCUCAGAGCAAAUGCAGUAACUUGAUAGAAUAAAUACUUUCAACCCACCUCAUCAAAGUAGAGGUUUACUUUGUUGACUUCUUCCUCAACCUUCUUUACUUCCAGGUCAUCGAUCACCUUGCUAAACAGAAAUA